UUUCAUUCCUCCCAAUUCUUUUAACUCCCAAAAUCAGACAAAAUAAACACACUCUUGCUUUUCAAACUAAAACUCUCUCUCAUUUCUCUCUCCCGGCUUUUCUCUCAUCUCUCAAAAGUCGAAGCUCCUCCAACCCUCAUCGAAGGUGUUGAAACCCUAAUCGAAGCUGCUGAAGCUCUCAAAGCCUAAUCUCAAAGUCGAGACCCCAACACUGCUCUCUUCGGUUCUCAAAGUCGAAGCCCUAAUUCGAGUUUUUCUUGCAGUUGCGGUUCUUGCGCUUCAGAUUUAAAAGAAGAUGGUGCUGCUUUUAGGAAAAAUGAUCGGAAACAAGGAAUUAAGUAUGCAGGGAAAAUCCUCUGUUCUCCUACUUAUUUCAAAUGUCAUUUCAAGUAACAUAUAACCUUGUAUCGAAAUCCAACACGACAAGAUUUCUCUGCUAGAUUUUCCAGACUUAGCAUUGGAAUGCAUUUUCGAAAAGCUUCCACGAGAUGGGCUAUCCAGAAUGUCAAUUGUUUGUACUUCUCUGAGAGCCAAUAAGAAGAGCAUCAAGAAGUUGCUACUCUGCACCAGCUGAUUCAGUCAUGGCCUGGUACACCGUACACGACCCUUGAAACUGGCAAGUUUUGGUUCCCUGCUCAGGUUUACAACAGAGAGUGGUGGGUGUAAUGCAGAAUGGACAUGUUGGGUUCAUUGUCUACUUUCCAUGGAAAUGUCUAGGUAUUCCUGAAAGUGUGGUGGAAGCCAGUGGACGUAGAUUAUUUUUGAUUUAGGUGGGAAGGCAGCCAUUCCGCAUAACUCAAAGGUCAAGUUCAGAUUCAAGCAUGGUGAUGGAGUUUGGGGUGACAGAAUCCCAGCUUGGAUUAAAUAUUCCACUGUGGAUGCAGCCAGGUUUGGUGCACCUUCUAACAGUGUGUUGUACUGGGACUCGCCAUGCUCAGGAAUGUAUAAGUUCGGAUAUAUAUUCACGUCCUCCAAAAUCUGCAGCACCAAAGAUUUAUGAGGCUCAUGCCAGGAAUUGUUUCUUAGGAAUUAUUUUCUAUUUUGACAGCAUAUUUUCCCUUAAUCUGAGUUAAGGUGCUGGUUUUGCAUUUAGGUAAAAAUGAAGGUGAGCAUGCUAUGGAGAUUGGGUCUUGGAUCAUCUGCGUCAUCAAGAGUAGAUAUUCAUCUACCGUUAACAAUCCAGGACCCUCGAUAUUGUGUACUGGAGUCACUUACCUCCAACGGAUAGGACUCAGGCUCGUUCAUUCAGCUAUUUCAAUGGCUGUGGCAGGAAGGAAUAAUAGGGACUCACCAUAAAUCUGUUGUUGUCAAGUUUGACAUGGUUGAUUAUUGUAGUUUGGAGUUUUUGCGUAACUUUUGAUUUUGGUAGUUUGGCCUUUGGUAUAUUGGUUGUAUAUUAUAUGGUUGAAUGUUGGAUCUAGUGGGAUUGCGAUUUUUAUGAAUGAAUUAGAUAUUUGGCAGCACUAA